rnacentral:rRNA from 1 species
GACGGAGGAUGCAAGCGUUAUCCGGAAUUAUUGGGCGUAAAGCGUCCGCAGGUGGCCGUUCAAGUCUGCUGUCAAAGCCCGGGGCUUAACUUCGGAAAGGCAGUGGAAACUGAACAGCUAGAGUAUGGUAGGGGCAGAGGGAAUUCCUGGUGUAGCGGUGAAAUGCGUAGAGAUCAGGAAGAACAUCGGUGGCGAAGGCGCUCUGCUGGACCAGAACUGACACUCAGGGACGAAAGCGAGGGGAGCGAAUGGG